UUUUAUUCUAAAACAAAAUUGAAUGUUCGGAUUCGAUGCUUUAGAAGUGUUCCGAUUUUGGUCCACAGAAAUGUGGUCACCGUAUAUAUAAGAGUUACAGAAACGAGCUACUGGACCCCAAA